rfam:Camelus ferus unplaced genomic scaffold scaffold1435, whole genome shotgun sequence.
GGAGGUAUAGCUCAGUGGUAGACCAUAUGCUUAGCAUGCAGUAGGUCCUGGGUUCAACCCCCAGCACCUCCA